rnacentral:lncRNA from 1 species
UGCAAUUAAUUCUGUAUAUUGUUUGUGUUUUGAAAGACACAAAAACUAACAUAUUUAGCAUUUAUUUUCGAUUUGUAAUCCCUUGAGACCCGCGUAAUAAUAUCAAAAUCACACAUUACGCUGAAGACGGGUUCACAAAAAAGAAUCUCGAAUGGUCAACAAUAAUACAUCGCUCAAGGUGAAUAAUUAUCUAUUUUAACAUAAAAACUAAUUUCAACAACAAAAACAAAAUAACAAAACAUUGUCAAAUUUGAAACAGAAGUGUACGAGUUGUCCUACGCUUCAGACUUGACAUUCACUAAACAUGCAUGCUGAAAUUGACAUGGUUGAUUUUGUAACACAAUCA